rnacentral:rRNA from 1 species
AACGAACGCUGGCGGCAUGCCUAACACAUGCAAGUCGAACGAACCCUUCGGGGUUAGUGGCGCACGGGUGCGUAACACGUGGGAACGUGCCUUUAGGUUCGGAAUAACUCACGGAAACUUGUGCUAAUACCGAAUGUGCCCUUCGGGGGAAAGAUUUAUCGCCUUUGGAUGGGCCCGCGUCUGAUUAGCUAGUUGGUUGGGGUAAUGGCUCACCAAGGCGACGAUCAGUAGCUGGUCUGAGAGGAUGAUCAGCCACAUUGGGACUGAGACACGGCCCAAACUCCUACGGGAGGCAGCAGUGGGGAAUAUUGGGCAAUGGGCGAAAGCCUGAUGCAGCCAUGCCGCGUGAAUGAUGAAGGCCUUAGGAUUGUAAAACUCUUUCACCGGGGAUGAUAAUGACGGUACCCGGAGAAGAAGCCCCGGCUAACUUCGUG